ACUCUGACAAGUGACAACUGACACAUGACAAUUAAAAUUAUUACACUAACCAUGCACUUUGUCUUUUAGCAAAAUAUAUUGUAUUUAAACAUUUAAAAUAAACAGUAAUACCUGCAUUAAGCAUUAAAUUGAGUACCUUCAAUUUAACAUAAUCAGAACUGAUUUAAAAACAUAACAUAGUACUCACUAUGAUGUUAAGCUAUUUUAUAAGCGUGCAAUCAAAAUACAAACAAAAACCAAGCAACAAGAAUAAAGCACUACAAGGCUGAGAUAAAUAGCGCAAUACAGCAAAUAAGCAAGGUGCAGCUCGAUCAAUGGUUACCCCGGCUUGAGAUUGAGGUGCUAUCUGGCUAUUUGGCACUGGAACUGGAGCAAUAUUCUUUAUAGCCUCGAGGUCAGCCAUGUUCUGAAUAUGAUGUCUGGAGCCUUCAGGACCAAUAGCAAAAAUUUUACCGUCCUUUGUCCAGCACUUAUUGACACCAAGAUGUUGACGGGCAGAAACAAAUAUUUGAUGACGUCUUCUGGUUAAAAACUCUGACAUUGUAAUACCCGUUUGCUUUAAGUUGGUUUUCAAAUUCCAAAUCUUGGAGCGGGAUGACAUCUCCUUGAACUUUACCAGUAUAGGUCUGGGCUUAUCUUUGUUUUGCUUACCAAGUCUAUUACAAUGUUUUAUGCAUGAAGAGUCAAGAUCAGUUGGCUUCAGAUGGUUUUUAAUAAUAUUGGAAACAGAAACAAGAACAUCACUGCCGCCUUCUGGUACACCAUGAAGUAAUAGAAUUUUUCUUCGACUUCUCAUCUCCAUAUGAUCAUUUAGAUCAUGCAGCAUUUGCACUUGU